AAUGGCUUGUGAAGAGAGCUUUUCAGAAUAACAGAGGCAUAGAAAAUAGAUGGUAACAGUGUUCCAGUCCGUUUUUCUGUGGGAAGCAGGAGCCUUCUUUCCCUUAUGCACUCUUUCCCUUCCUGCUCUGUUCAGCCUAGUGCAGGUCAAGCAGCAUUUUGGCUGCCAUUAAGAAGCUGCUCCACUGUGCUGGAUCCAGUGUGCAGUGGAGAGCAGUCGUGUUACAGUCACAGUAUAUUUCUUUGUCUCUAGGACUGCCUGUAAUUGUGAACCCUGGGGCAUGUGGCACAGUAGAAGUGUCUCUCUCUGAUGGGUUAUUCUGCUUGCUGAGCUGAGUUAUACCAGUGAAGGCAACCUGUUC